UUUAUGGAGAGUUUGAUCCUGGCUCAGGAUGAACGCUGGCGGCGUGCCUAAUACAUGCAAGUCGAGCGAACGGACGAGAAGCUUGCUUCUCUGAUGUUAGCGGCGGACGGGUGAGUAACACGUGGAUAACCUACCUAUAAGACUGGGAUAACUUCGGGAAACCGGAGCUAAUACCGGAUAAUAUUUUGAACCGCAUGGUUCAAAAGUGAAAGACGGUCUUGCUGUCACUUAUAGAUGGAUCCGCGCUGCAUUAGCUAGUUGGUAAG
rnacentral:rRNA from 1 species